GUCUAUGGCUGUACCACCCUGAACGUGCCCGAUCUUGUCUGAUCUUGGAAGCUAAGCAGGGUCAGGCCGGGUUAGUACUUGGAUGGGAGACUCCCUGGGAAUACCGGGUACUAUAGGCU
ensembl:rRNA 5S_rRNA 5S ribosomal RNA